GACGAACGCUGGCGGCGUGCCUAACACAUGCAAGUGGAGCGACGAACCAGGCUUCGGCCUGGGGCAAAGCCGCGAACGGGUGAGUAACACGUGGGUAACCUGCCCUGAUGAUUGGGACAACCCGAGGAAACUCGGGCUAAUACCAAAUGUGCCCUUCGGCCAUAAGGCCGCCGGGGAAAGGAAGCUUCGGCCUCCGCAUCUGGAUGGGCCCGCGGCCCAUUAGCUUGUUGGUGAGGUAACGGCNCACCAAGGCGACGAUGGGUAGCUGGUCUGAGAGGACGAUCAGCCACACUGGGACUGAGACACGGCCCAGACUCCUACGGGAGGCAGCAGUGGGGAAUCUUGCGCAAUGCGCGAAAGCGUGACGCAGCAACGCCGCGUGGGGAAGAA
rnacentral:rRNA from 1 species